GAAGGUGUAGCUCAGUGGUAAAGCACAUGCUUUGCACAUGUAAGGUCCUGGGUUCAGUCCCCAGUACCUCCA
rnacentral:tRNA from 1 species